GACGAACGCUGGCGGCGUGCUUAACACAUGCAAGUCGAACGAAGUGGCGAACGGGUGAGUAAUGCGUAAUCAACCUGCCCUUCAGAGGGGGACACUAGUUGGAAACGACUGCUAAUACCGCAUAAUGAUGGAGGGGAUUGUGUCUGAUUGGCUAGCUGGAGGGGUAACGGCCCACCAAGGCGAUGAUGAGUAGCCGGUCUGGGAGGAUGGACGGCCACAUUGGGACUGGGACACGGGCCAGGCUCCUACGGGGGGCAGCAGUUGGGAAUCUUCCGCAAUGGGCGAAAGUCUGACGGAGCAACGCCGCGUGAGUGAUGGCGGCCUUCGGGUUGUAAAGCUCUGUUAAUCGGGACGCGGUACCGGAAUAGAAAGCCACGGCUAACUACGUGCCAGCAGCCGCGGUAAUAC
rnacentral:rRNA from 1 species